UACGGGAGGCAGCAGUGGGGAAUAUUGCACAAUGGGCGCAAGCCUGAUGCAGCCAUGCCGCGUGUAUGAAAAAGGCCUUCGGGUUGUAAAGUACUUUCAGUCGUGAGGAAGGUGUUAAGGUUAAUAACCUUAGCAAUUGACGUUAGCGACAGAAGAAGCACCGGCUAACUCCGUGCCAGCAGCCGCGGUAAUACGGAGGGUGCGAGCGUUAAUCGGAAUUACUGGGCGUAAAGGGCACGCAGGCGGUUAAUUAAGUUGGAUGUGAAAUCCCCGGGCUUAACCUGGGAAUGGCAUUCAAGACUGGUUAGCUAGAGUCUUGUAGAGGGGGUAGAAUUCCAUGUGUAGCGGUGAAAUGCGUAGAGAUGUGGAGGAAUACCGGUGGCGAAGGCGGCCCCUGGACAAAGACUGACGCUCAUGUGCGAAAGCGUGGGGAGCAAACAGGGAUUAA
rnacentral:rRNA from 1 species